UACGAAGGGGGCUAGCGUUGUUCGGAAUUACUGGGCGUAAAGCGUGCGUAGGCGGAUCGUUAAGUCAGAGGUGAAAUCCCAAGGCUCAACCUUGGAACUGCCUUUGAUACUGGCGAUCUCGAGUCCGAGAGAGGUGAGUGGAACUCCUAGUGUAGAGGUGAAAUUCGUAGAUAUUAGGAAGAACACCAGUGGCGAAGGCGGCUCACUGGCUCGGUACUGACGCUGAAGCACGAAAGCGUGGGGAGCAAACAGG
rnacentral:rRNA from 1 species